UUUCCGUAGGUGAACCUGCGGAAGGAUCACUAAUGAGUUGUCAUGGGGUUCGAUGCUGGCAGCCAGUUUUUGGAUGCAUGUGCUUGCCCUAACAAUCAUCUUCUUCCAAACACCUGUGCACAUUUUUGAGGGAGUCUUGAGUUGGUUGCCGCUCUUGGGUGAUUUUCUCACAUUCCCUUAAAUCAUUAUACGCUAUUAACAAUGUUGAACGCGCUCUGUGCCGCAAGGCCAUUAAUAUAAUACAACUUUUAACAACGGAUCUCUUGGCUCUC
rnacentral:misc_RNA from 1 species